rnacentral:rRNA from 1 species
UACGUAGGGGGCUAGCGUUGUCCGGAUUUAUUGGGCGUAAAGAGCGUGUAGGCGGCCAGAUAGGUCUGCUGUGAAAACUCGAGGCUCAACCUCGAGAUGUCGGCGGAAACCAUUUGGCUAGAGUCCGGAAGAGGAAAGUGGAAUUCCUGGUGUAGCGGUGAAAUGCGCAGAUAUCAGGAAGAACACCCGUGGCGAAGGCGGCUUUCUGGGCCGGUACUGACGCUGAGACGCGAAAGCGUGGGGAGCGAACAGG